CCAAUCCAAAGUCCCACAUUCAGGAGAACUGGAGAAUACUCGACUUCUUCUCCCAUCAUCCAGAGAGCUUGAAUAUGUUCACUUUCCUCUUUGAUGAUCUGGGUGUUCCACUGGAUUACAGACACAUGGAAGGCUCUGGCGUCAACACCUAUACUCUAAUCAACAAGGCUGGGAAAGCAUAUUAUGUGAAGUUCCACUGGAAGCCAACAUGUGGUGUGAAGUGUUUAUUGGAGGACGAUGCUAUUAAGGUUGGAGGAGCUAAUCACAGCCAUGCCACCCAGGAUCUCUACGAUUCAAUUGCAGCUGGUAACUAUCCAGAAUGGAAACUUUUUAUUCAGACAAUGGAUCCUGAUCAUGAAGAUAGAUUUGAUUUUGACCCACUUGAUGUAACCAAGACCUGGCCAGAGGACAUCUUGCCCCUGCAGCCAGUGGGUCGCUUGGUAUUAAAUAAGAACAUAGAUAACUUCUUUGCGGAGAACGAGCAGCUUGCAUUUUGCCCUAGUAUUAUUGUCCCUGGGAUUUAUUAUUCCGAUGAUAAGCUGCUCCAAACUCGUAUAUUCUCUUAUUCUGAUACUCAGAGGCACCGUCUGGGACCAAACUAUUUGCAGCUUCCAGCUAAUGCUCCCAAGUGCGCUCAUCACAACAACCAUCAUGAAGGAUUCAUGAAUUUCAUGCAUAGGGAUGAGGAGGUACUUUAAUGAUUCCAUACUACUUCAUUGGAGAUCACUUACAUUCAAUUUCUUGGUUCCUAACUAACAUCCUUGGGUAAUUUCUAAAGUGCUUUGAGAUUUAAUAUAUUGGUAUUUUCUUUUAUUAUUUAUGUGCACUUUAAGAAACAAUACUGGGGGCCUAAACACUUCAUGAAGGAUUCAUGAAUUUCAUGCAUAGGGAUGAGGAGGUACUUUAAUGAUUCCAUACUACUUCAUUGGAGAUCACUUACAUUCAAUUUCUUGGUUCCUAACUAACAUCCUUGGGUAAUUUCUAAAGUGCUUUGAGAUUUAAUAUAUUGGUAUUUUCUUUUAUUAUUUAUGUGCACUUUAAGAAACAAUACUGGGGGCCUAAACACUUAAAUUCAGUUAUUGCCAUGAGAUUUUGUAUCUUGAUGCAUGGAGACGGUUGUCUAAACAUGUAUGUUUCAUGCUCUGAUUUUAUCAUCAUGUUUUAACCAGACGUUCCAACUGUUUUCCAGGUCAAUUAUUUCCCGUCAAGAUAUGAUGCCAGUCGUCAUUCUGAGAGGUAUCCCAUUCCCACUGUUGCAUUAUCAGGGAAGCGCGACAGGGUAUGUAUUGAUUGUGUUCUUGAUUCUGUUGCUAGAAGUUUCAGUUUAUCAUGAUUCUUAACUUUGUUAAAACUUAAAGGUUUUUCUUGGUGUUUACAACUAAUUUGAGUUCAAGAAGGAAAAAGUCCAGAACACUUUUCUAGCAUAAGCAGUGAAUCCCAAUCCUAGCUUUAUAGUGCAUGUAUAGUACUAUACUUACUUCCAUGUUUGUAACUCAUUUCAUUCAAUGGAUAAUUAACCCAAACAAAGAUUCUCAAGAUCUCUAUUGGUUGUCACGGCUGUAGAAGGAGCGACCAAUGUAUUUCCUCUGGUGUAGAAGUCAAACGGUGAAAUAAAAGAACAAAAAUUAUGAAUUUUAUCUUAGUAGCAGAAGUGGAAAUAAGUGGAGGUGAGUUGGUGCUGUUGCUGGCACUGAAGGAUGUUUGUUGAUACUUUUUGGUUUAAUAAUUUUUGCAGCAUCGAUGCUCAUUCCUCCCCCUUCUCCCACUGUUUCGUCUCCCUUUGUGGGUAUUUAGUUCACAUUACAACAAGAGAAAAGUGUUAUUAGUAUAUUUUGGGAGUUUGGAGCUCACACUUUUAGUGCGUGUUUUGCAGGGAGGAUUGGAUAGCACUAGAUAAUGUUUAAGGAAGAAUAUAAAAGAUAAAAUCUUGUUUAGUAUUAGUGUGUAUCAUUACAUGAUAUGUAACACCACAGAUAUAAAGUUCAACAAGCAACCUUUAAGAUUUUAAGUUCCUGAAAUGACAUAUGAAUAUAAUCCCUCGAUAGAUAGUUUUGCAGCUGAGAAAUUCUUGUGCGAGUUGAAUGGCACUUUGUUUAUUAUUGCAGUGCAUCAUCGAAAAGGAGAACAACUUUAAGGAACCAGGAGAAAGAUACCGUUCCUGGGCACUGGACAGGUAACUAAUCUCUAGUCAUUAGUCAACUUAGAAAUUUAUAAAAUGACUAUCAUGCAAGUUGAUUUAUCUGCUUAUUCCCAUUUCUCCUUCAGGCAAGAGAGAUUCAUCUGCCGGUGGGUAGAUGCUUUAUCCGAUCUCAGGGUCACCCAUGAGAUCCGUAGUAUCUGGGUUUCAUACUGGUCUCAGGUCUGAUUACCCAUACCUUUCUCAUAUGUUCGGCACUGAGGAUUUAUAGCACUGAACAGUAUUAAAUAAGAAGCUAAAAUCUUAUUCAUUAUACUAUCCAGUCCUCUGUAUACUUUGUUACCAGUAUUUUCUAUAUUUGCUUUCAAGGUUAUGUACUCAGUUUUUGAUUUUUAUGCUGCAGGCCGAUAAGUCCCUUGGUCAAAAGCUCGCCUCACAUCUCAAUGUAAGACCAACAAUGUAGAGGCUGUGAGAAUACGGGAUGUUUUCAGUUGCUGUGGGCGGAAGAGUAAUGUAGACAGGAUAUGUUGUUCGGAAGUAUAAAGUCACUCGUACUUCUUUUAUAACUGUAUUCUUAUAUGUAAUGAAGAAACUAAUGUUGCCUUAACCACAAUAAUAUUAUAUUGAAUGUAAGAAAUGACAAUUGUACUCUCUCCACCAACUCGAUCUUUGUCUACUGGUGAUUACUGGUUAUUGUCGCACAAUCAUUUGAGAAGGAACCCGAAAAAGCACAAAUUCGGAACUAAAACUAUGUAUUUGCAAAGUUGGGUCGUGAUUGUGCAGUGAAGUUGUGGGUUUUUGCACAUAUAUGGGUUUUUCUUUUGCUAUAAUAAGAUUAAAAACUUCUGUAUGUCCCGCAGCAAGAAAGGAAAAGUGAAGGCUUCCAUUACUUGGCUUGUGAAGUCUGGUAGAUAAUGAGGUAUAUUUGAAGCUUGAAAGGGGCUUCAAAUGGUAAGUUUGAAGCAUAUAGCGUUUAUAGACUUCAUUGGUCGUCAAAUUGACAUGUUGCUGGGUAUUUUUAGUGUUUGGUAGUUGACAUAGCCAUUGAUUUAGUACGCCCUCCAUCUUAUAAAAAUAUGCUUGCUUUCCUUCUUUUAUUUAACCUUGUCCCUAUCUGAGACGAUGGAAUGAGGUAUUCCAUGGAGUCUUACCACUUCUUUGUUGAAAACUCUUGCCACACUAGCUGCCGUAAAAGGAUUCCUGAGCCCAAUGAAGUGCCCAUAUUUACUCAGUCAGUCGACCACCACUAGAAUUGUGUCCAUGUUUCCAAAUUUUGGUAAACCCUCAAUGAAAUCCAUGGCAAUAUCUUCUCAAACCUGAUUUGGUACAAUAAGUGUUUUUAAAGGCCUCUCGGUGAUAGAGCACUAUACUUGUUUUGUUGGCACAUGGAACAUCGGCUAACAUACCUGCUUAUUUCUGACUUCAUUCCCUCCUAGUACACACUUGCUGUGAUACGUUUGUAGGUUUUCAAGAAUCCAGAGUGGCCACCCAACUUGCUGCCAUGCCCCUUUUGUAACAUCAAAGGAAUUAACUUUGAUCCCUUUGGUAAUAGAAGCCUCCCCUUAAAUAAUAACUGACCAUUCACCAACUUAUAACCUGGUCUGCUGGAAGGGUCUUGGGUGAUGUCCCAAAUAGUAUCCUGUAAGUUUUGGUCUGCUCUUACUUCUUCUGCUAGAACAUCCACCUGCACUACUGUAGGGGUUAUUAUCACCAUUAAUUCAAUAGAUGAACUAACUCGGGACAAUGCAUCAGUUGCUUUAUUUUCGCUCCCGGGACGAUAUUGAAUUUCAAACUGAUACCCCAUCAAUUUUACUAACCACUUUUGAUACUCUGGAUUGACCUGUUGUUGAUCUAUUAAGAACUUCAAACUUUGUCGAUCAGUUUGAACAAAGAAUUUAUGUCCCGGCAAGUAAUGUUUCCAUUUUUGUACCGCAAAAAUGAUGGCCAUCAGUUCUCACUCCUAUGCUGAUUUUACUCUCCCCUUCGGAUUAAGAGCAUGGCUAAAAAAUGCAAUGGGAUGUUGGUUCUUCAUAAGUACUGCCCCCAACCCAGAUCUCGAGGCAUCGGUCUCUAUGAUGAAGGGUUUGCUAGUCAGGAAGGGCAAGAAUCGGCACAGUAGUCACGACGACUUUCAAUUUGCCAAAAGCUCGUUCGGCUUCAUCAUCCCAGAAAAAAUUGUCCUUACGCAGAUGCUUAGUUAAUGGCCACACCAACUUUUCAUAAUCCUUAACAAAAUUACGGUAGUACCACGUUAACUCGAAAAAUCCCCGCAACUCUCACAAGGAACCGGGGCUUGACCAAUCUAUCAUGGCUUGAAUUUUUGUCUUGUCCGCAGCUACCAUGUGGUCAGAAAUAAUGUGCCCAAGAUAUUCCACUUCUUCCUGUCCAAAGCUACAUUUUUUUCUGUUGACAUACAACUGAUGUUGGGCUAGCACUUGUAAUACGCUCCUUAAUGCCCCACAUGUUCCUCCUUAUUGCGACUGAAUACUGAGAUGUCAUCAAAGAGUACCAACAUAAAGUGGCUCAGCUUUUCUUUGAAUACUUCAUUCAUGAGCGAAUGAAAUGUGGCAAGGGCACUAAUGAGACUAAACAGCAUGACGACGAACUCAUAAUGCCCUUCAUGUGUCUUGAGGGCUGUCUUUGAAAUGUCUUCAAGUUUCAUGGUUUGGGGCGGAGUAAGACCCACCACUGAAUUCAUGGAUAAUUCCCCCAACUCACCGGUCACAAGCUUCUCUCCUUCAGUCAUUUCCUCAGUUGGCUCCUCAAUUUCACCCUCAUCUUGUCGUUCAUCGUCAAAAACUAGCAUCACCUGUAAUUCCUUGUUCUUGCACCUGUGCCCAAUGGGGUAUUUCUCAUCACAGCGGAAACAUAAUCCUCAGUUUUUAUUGGCUUUCAAUUUGGCUUCACUGAGCCUCUUAAACAACAGGUUGGCAGUACUGGUGGAAGCUGGAGCUUUGGCCGUCGACGGUUUCGUGUUGGUAUUUGGGGAAGGAUCCGAUUGAUUUCUUGUGGGUGGAAGGUACCAAUUUAAGUUGGAACUAGAUUUCUGUUUUAAUGAUCCAGAUCUAUUAGCGUGGGCUUGUAGGGCCUGAUUGUUCUCCUCAAUUUUCUGGGCCAAUUCCAUAAUUUGGUCAAGCCCCUUAGGCUGUAGCAUCCUUACUUCAGCUUUAAUUUCUGGGCUCAGCCCAUUUACGAAGUGGCCCUCUAAUAUGGCCUCCGAAAUAUCUCCAAUCGGUGCUGCCAAUGACUCGAAGGCGUUCUGAUAAGCCAUCACUGAUCCUUCUUGUCGAAGAGCCAGAAAUCGCUCUUCUGUGGUACCUUCCAGGGCUGAUCUAAAUCGAGUCCGCAACAACCCUUUGAGCUCCUCCCAAUUUCACACACCUCUCAGCUUUUGCUCCCAUUAGUACCAAGACAGAGCCCCUUCCUCGAAACACAAACCAGCAGUCUCCAAUUUCUCCACAUCUGUCAAUUGGUUCACAAUGAAAUAACGUUCAGCCCGGAAUAUACAUUCAUCUGGAUUUUUACCCAUAAACACUGGCAUCUCCAACCUCCUCCCUCUGAAUUCGGUUCUCCAGUUCUUGCCGGUCGUUCUGUCCGUUUCUCUGCCACUCAUCUCCAUGCUCAGAAAAAUCUCAGAUUGCACAUUGUAUUCUGAGUCCUUCACUCUGACUUGUCCCUUGCCUUUCCUGUCUCGUUCAGCCUCCUCCCAUUUGGUCCUCAUGAAGGUGAAUUGCUUUGAAAUAAUGGCCAUGUUCUUUUCCAUGUUCUGUACCCUUUGCAACUCAGCCUUUAUCCUAUCCAUUCCCAUUUGCAUUCCUUCCCAUUGCACCUGUAGUUUUUACUGAGUCCCUUCUAAACUUCCUACUCGAUCUGCCAGAUUUACCAUCAAGAUUGGUUUGCUCUGAUACCAAUGAUAUGAACCUGAAAUAAUUUCACUUCACCAAGCGAACUUUAAAGUAAUUGAUAGGCUGAAAUAGAACUAUAAUAUUCCUUUGCUGAACUUUGAUUACAAAUAAACAAACCUCCUAAAGGAAAACAGAUUUGGAAUGCAAGAUAACAGAAAAAAAUAACAAGGAGGGACGUUCGAGAGGUCCACUACUCUCCCAAUGACUACCAAAUUCUCCCUUCCCUGCUGCAAUUCCAUUCCCUUAUUUUAUAGGUUGUUCUGUUCCUAGACUGUUCCUCUAACCAACCAUGCAUGUGGCUUCUUCUCCUCAUACAUUUCCCAUUUUACCCUUGCGUCUUUGAUAGAUAAUCUGUAUUGCGGGUCUAACAAAUUUCUAUUCAACAGAGUUCAUUGACUAUGAGCUCUAUAUUUUCCGUGAUUAUUAGUUUCAACAUUUUUUGGUUUCGGGGAAUCACAUUGGAACAUUUUGCUGGAGACAGAAGUUGUGCAACAUGAUUAUUAUUUUUUUAACUUCUCAUACAAAAGAACUAACAAAGAGAAAUUGUAUGUUUUUUCAAGCGUAGUUGCUCAGUUUUUCAGUGUUGUAAGUUCCCUUUGUUCUUUAUUUUCCACUUUUUGUCUUCUUAAAAGGACAUUAACAUUUAGUCAAAGUUUCAUUUAUUCAAUGCUAUGUGUUAAUGUAGUAUGUGCAACUCCGUAGGAGUAAGCGGUAAAGAAUAAUUAGUGUAUUUUACAUUGUUGAUAAUGACAGCUUCUUGUGGAUGCAGGGAAACUUCGAUCUGGUGGGAAAUAACUUCCCUGUCUUUUUUGUUCGCGAUGGGAUGAAAUUCCCAGAUAUGGUUCACGCUUUGAAACCCAAUCCAAAGUCCCACAUUCAGGAGAACUGGAGAAUACUCGACUUCUUCUCCCAUCAUCCAGAGAGCUUGAAUAUGUUCACUUUCCUCUUUGAUGAUCUGGGUGUUCCACUGGAUUACAGACACAUGGAAGGCUCUGGCGUCAACACCUAUACUCUAAUCAACAAGGCUGGGAAAGCAUAUUAUGUGAAGUUCCACUGGAAGCCAACAUGUGGUGUGAAGUGUUUAUUGGAGGACGAUGCUAUUAAGGUUGGAGGAGCUAAUCACAGCCAUGCCACCCAGGAUCUCUACGAUUCAA
rnacentral:lncRNA from 1 species